GUUUUUUUGUAUAUAAUUUAAAGUUUGGCCUGCCCACUGAGUAUUAAAGGGCCGCGGUAUUUUGACCGUGCUAAGGUAGCAUAAUCAUUAGUUUUUUAAUUGAAAGCUGGAAUGAAUGGUUGGAUGAGAAAAUAACUGUCUCUGAUUUAAUUAUAUUGAAUUUUAAAUUUAAGUAAGAAUGCUUAAAUAAAUUUUAAAGACGAGAAGACCCUAUAGAGUUUUAUAUAAUUUUUUUUUAAAAAUUUUAGUAUUUUAAAUUUUAACUGAAUUUUAUAUUUAGUUGGGGUGAUUGAAAAAUUUAAUAAACUUUUUUUUUAUUCGUACAUAAAUUUAUGAUUAAUUGAUCCAUAAAUAAUGAUUAUAAGAUUAAAUUACCUUAGGGAUAACAGCGUAAUUUUUUUUUAGAGUUCAAAUUAAAAAAAAAGAUUGCGACCUCGAUGUUGGAUUAAAAUUAAUAUUAGGUGUAGAAGCUUAAUAAUUAGGUCUGUUCGACCUUUAAAAUUUUACAUGA
rnacentral:rRNA from 1 species